rnacentral:rRNA from 1 species
AUUGAACGCUGGCGGCAGGCCUAACACAUGCAAGUCGAGCGGAUGAAGGGAGCUUGCUCCUGGAUUCAGCGGCGGACGGGUGAGUAAUGCCUAGGAAUCUGCCUGGUAGGGGGGGAUAACGUCCGGAAACGGGCGCUAAUACCGCAUAAGUCCUGAGGGAGAAAGUGGGGGAUGUUCGGACCUGGCGCUUGCGGAUGAGCCGACGUCGGAUUAGCUAGUUGGUGGGGUAGUGGCCUACCAAGGCGAGGAUGGGUAACUGGCCUGAGAGGGUGAUCGGUCACAUUGGGACUGGGGGAGGGCCCAGAGGGCUAUGGGAGGCAGAAGGGGGGAAUAUUGCACAACGGGCGGAGGGCUGAUGAAGCAACUCCGCGUGCGGGAUGACUUUCUUCGGGUUGGAAACCGCUUUAGCCUGUGACGAUGCGUGUGUGACGGUAAUGAGUAAAGAAGCACCGGCUAACUACGUG